CCUACGGGAGGCAGCAGUGGGGAAUAUUGGGCAAUGGGCGCAAGCCUGACCCAGCAACGCCGCGUGAAGGAAGAAGGCUUUCGGGUUGUAAACUUCUAUUCUCAGGGACGAAGCAAGUGACGGUACCUGAGGAAUAAGCCACGGCUAACUCCGGGCCAGCAGCCGCGGUAAUACGUCGUUGGCAAGCGUGAUCCGGAGUUACGGGGAGUAAAGGGCGGGUAGGCGGGGACGCAAGUCAGAUGUGAAAACCCUGGGCUCAACCUGUGGCCUGCAUUUGAAACUGUGUUUCUUGAGUACUGGAUAGGCAGCCUGAAUUCCUCUUGUAGCGGUGAUAUGCGUAGAUCUUAGGAGG
rnacentral:rRNA from 1 species